UACGUAGGGGGCUAGCGUCAUCCGGAAUUACUGGGCGUAAAGGGUGCGUAGGUGGUUUCUUAAGUCAGAGGUGAAAGGCUACGGCUCAACCGUAGUAAGCCUUUGAAACUGGGAAACUUGAGUGCAGGAGAGGAGAGUGGAAUUCCUAGUGUAGCGGUGAAAUGCGUAGAUAUUAGGAGGAACACCAGUUGCGAAGGCGGCUCUCUGGACUGUAACUGACACUGAGGCACGAAAGCGUGGGGAGCAAACAGG
rnacentral:rRNA from 1 species